CCCGUCCUGAAACACGGACCAAGGAGUCUAACGUGUGCGCGAGUCGCUGGGCAUCACUAGACACCCGCGGGCGCAAUGAAAGUGAAGGCGUGGCCGGCCCUGGCCGGACGCGCCGCGGGAAGAUGGGGCCAGCGUCGACUGUGGCGCGCCUCCGCACUCCCGGGGCGUCUCAGCCUCUCCGCAAGGCGAGGCGAGGCGCACCCAGAGCGCACACGUUGGGACCCGAAAGAUGGUGAACUAUGCCCGGCCAGGACGAAGCCAGGGGAAACCCUGAUGGAGGUCCGUAGCGAUUCUGACGUGCAAAUCGAUCGUAUGAGCCGGGUAUAGGGGCGAAAGACUAAUCGAACCAUCUAGUAGCUGGUUCCCUCCGAAGUUUCCCUCAGGAUAGCUGGCGCUCGCGUUUCGCCGAGUCUCAUGCGGUAAAGCGAAUGAUUAGAGGCCUUGGGGCCGAAACGGCCUCAACCUAUUCUCAAACUUUAAAUGUGUGAGAUCCCCGGCCUGCUCGUAGGAUGAGGCCGGGGCGUUAUUUGUUGACGGAUCGGAGCGCCAAGUGGGCCGAUUUUGGUAAGCAGAACUGGCGCUGUGGGAUGAACCAAACGUCCGGAUAAGGCGCCCGAGUUCAACGCCAACCGGACACCAUGAAAGGCGUUGGUUGCUUAAGACAGCAGGACGGUGGCCAUGGAAGUCGGAAUCCGCUAAGGAGUUGUGUAAC
rnacentral:rRNA from 1 species